GGAAUCUUCCACAAUGGGCGAAAGGCCUGAUGGAGCAACGCCGCGUGUGUGAUGAAGGGUUUCGGCUCGUAAACACUGUUGUAAGAGAAGAAUGACAUUGAGAGUAACUGUUCAAUGUGUGACGGUAUCUUACCAGAAAGGAACGGCUAAAUACGUGCCAG
rnacentral:rRNA from 1 species